rnacentral:rRNA from 1 species
UACGUAGGGGGCGAGCGUUGUCCGGAUUUAUUGGGCGUAAAGAGCUCGUAGGCGGUCCGAUAAGUCGGAUGUGAAAUCUCCACGCUCAACGUGGAGAGGCCAUUCGAUACUGUCGUGACUCGAGUCCGGUAGGGGAGUGUGGAAUUCCCGGUGUAGCGGUGAAAUGCGCAGAGAUCGGGAGGAACACCCGUGGCUAAGGCGGCUCUCUAGUACGGUACUGACGCUGAGACGCGAAAGCGUGGGGAGCGAACAGG